CCUUUUGCACGCCUGUUUAUUUUGUUUGCACUUCCACUCUCUAGGGUUUCUCCCUUUCCUCCAUCCGCUCUCGCAUCCACAGACUAAUACGCUCGCAUUCUCCACCAUUGGCGCGCGCAGGUGGAUCCCUGCGGUGGGGUAUUGAAGCGCAGAUCAGAUCCAGAUCAUCGACGCGAGGAACUGGAAUCGGGUAUCGGGGGUACUGGAAGCGCAGAUCAGAUAGGUGAGUUCAUGCCCUCCGCACUCCAAAUCUCUCUCCAUCUCGUCUUUGAUUUGAGUGCUUUUUUACACGGAGACACCAGCAUCUCGCGGGCUUGGAAUACGGUGGUGCCGGGUUUGAACCAGAGACGUCGGCAGCUCAUGGGGAUGAAAAGCGUAGGUUCAGAAUCAAAUUCCGACGUACAGAGUUUUGUUGAUAGCGGAAGGAUCCCUACUAGAGGAAAAAGCGCAUAAUGUUCGAAGAAACAGGGUGUGGAGUCGACUGUUUUCUAAUAUUUUUGAUGCAGUGGGGAGUGGAAAACAGAGAGCCCUAAAGAGGGGUGCACAAUAAGCAGUUGUUUUGCGUACCAUCAGCAACGUCUGUCAUCAGCUUGAGCAGGGAAGCAGCCCAGCAAUCCAGCAAGGUUUCAGAUGUUAUUUUUAUGCUAUAGCGAUGUAAAUGCUGGUUACAUUGUUUAAUCAUGGUUUGCUUGCUUUUGCCUGUGAAUUGAGUAGUUGUUUAAUUUAUUAAGUACAAUGAAUUUUAGCUCAUGUGCCUUUUGUUCAUCUUAUUUAACCUGUCAAGUAGAGUUUAUUGGUAUUUUCUGUAGACGCAGGCAGCUGCAACUUGACUUUAUUUAGUGCAAUUGAACAACAACGAAUAUCUUUCCAUUCCAUUGUUCAUUAGACAAUAACUUGGCUCUAAAUUAGGCAAUAAUAUAGGAGAAAUUAGGCAAUAAUGUUUUCCUAUAUAGGCAGUAAUGUUGGUUCCCAUUAAAAUUGUUUAUAUAGGCAAUAAUAACGGUUUCCAAUAAGCAAUAAUAUUAUUCUAUCUAGGCAUAACAGUACACUUCAUGACGCAAUUUUGUUUGAAUACCUCACAAUUCAUUUUUUUAUUGGUUGCCUUCAGUAAAUAGUUGACAUAAAACUACCAACAGAUGCUAAGGUAAGCAAAUUCUUCAGCCUACUAGUUAAGAGUUUUUUUGGCCUCCAUUACUUACGUAGUUGAAUAUUCUCUGAUUUUUGUCAUUUUUUAUCAUCACAUUGCAGGUUACCAGAGUAUUGAAUAUGAAUGCUUAUUGGAAGGCAUUUUGAGUAAUUAGAAGCAAAUAUUUUAGCAGUUGGGGAGUAUAUAUUUGAGUACAUUUUGCAGUUCUGAUUCAGAUAGUUCUGCAAUGAAAAAUUGUAGGCACCUAAAUAGAUAACUUUGCAGGUCUGAGAACUACGCUCUAAGACGCAUGAUGAUGCAUGACAUUUAUGUGUUCUUUUUUCCAGAGGGUUGAUGCUGUGUGUUCUUGAAA